AUAUAGAUAAGCUAAAUUUAAGCUUUUAGGUUCAUACCCUAAAUAUAGAUAAACUCUUUUAUAUA
rnacentral:tRNA from 1 species